GCCCUGGUGGCUCUGUGGUAGAAUUCCUGCCUGCCACGCCGGCAGCCUGGGUUCUAAUCCCAGCAAAGGCA
rnacentral:tRNA from 1 species